rnacentral:rRNA from 1 species
UACGAAGGGGGCUAGCGUUGCUCGGAAUCACUGGGCGUAAAGGGUGCGUAGGCGGGUUUUUAAGUCAGGGGUGAAAUCCUGGAGCUCAACUCCAGAACUGCCUUUGAUACUGAGGAUCUUGAGUUCGGGAGAGGUGAGUGGAACUGCGAGUGUAGAGGUGAAAUUCGUAGAUAUUCGCAAGAACACCAGUGGCGAAGGCGGCUCACUGGCCCGAUACUGACGCUGAGGCACGAAAGCGUGGGGGAGCAAACAGG